CAUGUUCAAGCCACACUAAACGUUGAGUUGGCCGGUGUGCUGACAAACGAACAGGCGUUUUAAGGAUACGUUCGUUGGGUAGGGGAGCGUUCUGUAAGCCGUUGAAGGUGACCUGUGAGGGUUGCUGGAGGUAUCAGAAGUGCGAAUGCUGACAUAAGUAACGAUAAUGCGGGUGAAAAACCCGCACGCCGGAAGACCAAGGGUUCCUGUCCAACGUUAAUCGGGGCAGGGUGAGUCGACCCCUAAGGCGAGGCUGAAAAGCGUAGUCGAUGGGAAACAGGUUAAUAUUCCUGUACUUGGUGUUACUGCGAAGGGGGGACGGAGAAGGCUAGGCUAGCCGGGCGACGGUUGUCCCGGUUUAAGCAUGUAGGCGGAGUGACCAGGUAAAUCCGGUUGCUUAUCAACGCUGAGGUGUGAUGACGAGUCACUACGGUGAUGAAGUAGUUGAUGCCAUGCUUCCAGGAAAAGCCUCUAAGCAUCAGGUAACAUGAAAUCGUACCCCAAACCGACACAGGUGGUCAGGUAGAGAAUACUCAGGCGCUUGAGAGAACUCGGGUGAAGGAACUAGGCAAAAUGGUGCCGUAACUUCGGGAGAAGGCACGCUGGCAUUAGGUAAAGGGACUUGCUCCCGGCGCCGAAGCCAGUCGCAGAUACCAGCUGGCUGCAACUGUUUAAUAAAAACACAGCACUGUGCAAACACGAAAGUGGACGUAUACGGUGUGACGCCUGCCCGGUGCUGGAAGGUUAAUUGAUGGGGUCAGCCGCAAGGCGAAGCUCUUGAUCGAAGCCCCAGUAAACGGCGGCCGUAACUAUAACGGUCCUAAGGUAGCGAAAUUCCUUGUCGGGUAAGUUCCGACCUGCACGAAUGGCGUAAUGAUGGCCAGGCUGUCUCCACCCGAGACUCAGUGAAAUUGAACUCGCUGUGAAGAUGCAGUGUACCCGCGGCAAGACGGAAAGACCCCGUGAACCUUUACUAUAGCUUGACACUGAACAUUGAGCCUUGAUG
rnacentral:rRNA from 1 species